rnacentral:rRNA from 1 species
ACAGAUGGGAGCUUGCUCCCUGAUGUUAGCGGCGGACGGGUGAGUAACACGUGGGUAACCUGCCUGUAAGACUGGGAUAACUCCGGGAAACCGGGGCUAAUACCGGAUGCUUGUUUGAACCGCAUGGUUCAAACAUAAAAGGUGGCUUCGGCUACCACUUACAGAUGGACCCGCGGCGCAUUAGCUAGUUGGUGAGGUAAUGGCUCACCAAGGCAACGAUGCGUAGCCGACCUGAGAGGGUGAUCGGCCACACUGGGACUGAGACACGGCCCAGACUCCUACGGGAGGCAGCAGUAGGGAAUCUUCCGCAAUGGACGAAAGUCUGACGGAGCAACGCCGCGUGAGUGAUGAAGGUUUUCGGAUCGUAAAGCUCUGUUGUUAGGGAAGAACAAGUGCCGUUCAAAUAGGGCGGCACCUUGACGGUACCUAACCAGAAAGCCACGGCUAACUACGUGCCAGCAGCCGCGGUAAUACGUAGGUGGCAAGCGUUGUCCGGAAUUAUUGGGCGUAAAGGGCUCGCAGGCGGUUUCUUAAGUCUGAUGUGAAAGCCCCCGGCUCAACCGGGGAGGGUCAUUGGAAACUGAGGAACUUGAGUGCAGAAGAGGAGAGUGGAAUUCCACGUGUAGCGGUGAAAUGCGUAGAGAUGUGGAGGAACACCAGUGGCGAAGGCGACUCUCUGGUCUGUAACUGACGCUGAGGA